rnacentral:lncRNA from 1 species
GCUCCCACUGUCCCCUCCGUGGAACGGGGGGCCGGUCACCCACCCAGACUUCCCCCGGGGCCAUGCAUUCCAGACCGCGGCGGGCUGUGGGGCCGCGGCGGCUGGGUCUCAAGAAGUUCAUUCAUUCAUUCCACUCAUUCAUUCUUGUCUCCAAGAGCGUGCCCUCCGAGGGGGCUCCUGAGGCUGCUGGGGUCGGAGUGGGCGGGUGUGCUGGCGGUCAGCGGCCUCACACAGGGGGCCUCUCCGUGUCCGGGCCUCAGUUUCCUCACCGUGAGGUGGCUGAACGGCUGGGUUAGACCACCGUGGACCGGAGUUGUCCCAGUUCUGUGCCCCGUGAUCUUACGUGGCUCAGAGAUGGCGAUUCAGGAGCUCGUUUUCAUCUGAGAGUUUGUGGUUUUAGCUCAUUUAGUCUUCGGUCCACUUUGAGCUGAUUUCUGUGUACGGAGCAGGGAAGGGCCGACCCUCAUUCCCUCCCACGUGGGUGUCCGGUCGUCCGUUUGUUGAAUGACUAUUUUCCUCCCACCGAAUGGUCUUGACGCCCUUGUCGAAAUCAGUUGGCUGUGGACGUGAGGGUUUCUUUCUAGACCCUCCUUUCCGUUCCGUCAGUCUGUCUGUCUGUCCUGUGUGGUCGCCUCGCGGCUCCACCCCCAGCGUUUGUCGUGGGUUUGAAAUCAGGAGCUGCCAGUCCCCUGAUGCUUUGUCAACAUAAUUUUGUCUAUUUUGGGUCUGUUGUCUCUCCAACUGAAUUUUAGGAUCAGCUGGUCAAUUUCUGCCCAAAAGCCAGCUGGGAUUUUUCACCGAGAUUGUGCGGGAUCUGCAGACCCGUGUGGCGGGUUUCCCACCUGGACGCCGCGUCACCGGUUCACGAACCCGGGUCGUCUUAGCCUUUAUCGAAGGUCUUCGAUUUCUUUCAGUGACGUUUCCGUGACUCUCAAUGUGCGAGUCUUAACUUCAGGUGCUUUUGUGAAAUCCACUCCCCAGCAGUUUUUUCUUUUUGACCCGAUUGUAAAUGGAAUCGUUUUCUUGAUAUAGUUUUGGGAUCGUUUGUCGCUGCCGCGUAUUGAUCAACGUACGGUCGGCUUUGUGCUUUGAUCUUGUGUCCUGCGACCUCGUCGGCUGUUUCUUAGCUCUGGGAUUUGCAUAUGUGUGUGGAUUCCUUGGCUUUUUCUACACACAAGUCCUGUCAGCUUCAAGUAGGAGUUUACUUUUUCCUUCUCGAUCUGUAGUUUUAUUUCUUUUUCUUGCCUAAUUGCCCCGGCUCGAACCUCCAGCUCGACGUUGACCAGAAGCGGGAGAGCAGACACUGCCGUCUUGCUUCUGAUCCUGGGCAAGAGUUUUACAUCUUUCGUCAUUAAAUACGGCGCUGGCUGUGGGCCCUACGUCUGUGUCCUUUACCAGGGUGAGAAGUCCCUGUGUCUCUAGUUUGUUGACUGCUUUUUAUUUUAUUUUUUUUUGAGGAAGAUUAGCCCUGAGCUAGCUGCUGCCAAUUCUCCUCUUUUUUGCUGAGGAAGACUGGCCCUGAGCUGACAUCCGUGCCCAUCUUCCUCUACUUUAUAUGUGGGACGUCUACCACAGCAUGGCUUGCCAAGUGGUGCCAUGUCCACACCCGGGAUCUGAACCGGUGAACCCUGGGCCACCGAAGCAGAACUUGCGAACUUAACCACUGCACCACCGGGCCGGCCUCUCUAAUUUCUUGGCAUACAGUUGUCACAAGUCUUUUGUUAUAGUCCUUUUUAUUUCUGUAAGGUUAGUGCUAAUCUUGGUAAUUAUCUCAGUAAAGUCUUAGUAAUCAAAGAUUGAGUCUUCCCUCUUUUUCUCUCCAUCUGUGUAGCUAAAGGUUCAUCAGUUUUGUUGAUCUUUUCAAAGAAGCAACUUUUGGCUUUCUUAAGACUUUCUAUCGUUUUCUAGUCUCUGCUUUAUUCAUCCCCCUCUAAUCUUUAUGAUUUCUUUCCUCAGCUUAUUUUGGGUCCAGUUUGCCCUUCUUGUUCCAGCUUCUUAAGACCCAAAGUCAAGUUAUUGAUUUGAGAUCCUUCCUUUUUUAUGACACGGGAGUUUGCAGCAAUGAGUUUCCCUCUGAGCACUGCUUUGGCUGCACCCCCUAAGUUCGGGCGUGUUUCAUUUUCAUUCACCUCAACGUGUUGUCAUUGUGUGUACUUCUAUCUGUGUUUUUUUCUCACUCAAGAGAACAUCACCUUCCCGGGUUAUUAAAUAUUCUUCAAACCCGUGAUUUCUGCUGGCUUCCAGGAGUCCACCUGGCUGAGAUCACCACCUGAUGGGGUGUAGAUGACCCUGUUGUCCCCUGCUCCCGGCAGGGUCCGGCCGAGUUCCUGGACACACAGUCUUUCUCACAUUUAAAGGCCCUUGUCACAUCCUGUCACCCCCCCCCCCAGGCAGUGCUGCGCUGUCAUGGUGCCUCUUGGGGUGGCCGCGUGGAUUGCCCAGGGGGCCUGGGGCCAGCCCUCCUGCAGAGAAAGGAAGUGAGAUGCCGCGAGCAUGGCACUGAGGGGGUCGUUGCCUCCUGGAUGGCCCUGCUCGGCCUCGGGGGCCGGGGAGCCGCCUGGGCCCACCUCCACGGUGGUGGUGUGCCCCCCAGCAGCCUGCACACGGCCUCGCGAUUCACAGCCCACCUUCUCUGUCGGUUUUGCCCUCGGCGAGGGGUUUGGAUACGUAAAGUGUCACGAUUCAUCAGGAGACCAAGAGAUGGGUGAAAGCGGGUCUGGGGAGGCUGGACAGAGCAGGUCGCAGGCCCUGCUGUGUGACCCAGGACAGGCCUCCCACUCUGGGCCUCAGCCCCCGCGUCCUGAGGGGACUGUCCCGCGAUUAUCAGGGGCCGCGGUUUGCAGAAUAUUGGCAGGUGAAGGCGGGCUUUCUUCAGGGCCUCCCGUUGGACACCUUAAGGUCCUUCUUAGUGGGCAUUCUCUCUGCGAAGACCCUUCCAGAUGGGGAAGCAGGACAGGGACCACAGCCGAGGGGCCGGGCCGCAGAGGCGUCACCCACCAGAGCAGGCCCCCCAUCUCCUUCCUUCUCCUCCCUCCCUCUCUUUCUCCCUCUCGCCCCCUCCCCUUUCCCUCCCUCCAUCUUGAUUUCCUUGGAGCCCUCAGUGCCUGGGGCUGCAGCCACCCUCCUUGGGAUUGCAGCUACCGUGGGGAGACCCCAGGGACCCAGAGCUGCUCCUCCCAGACGGAGCCUAAGGGGCAGCAGUCCCAGCUCCGGGAUCGUGGGGGGCCCUGGAGCUGCUCUGGCGCUGGGGCCCGGAGGGGCAGAGGACUCUGUUUACCUAAUACCGAAAAAUCAUCUCCAUGGCAACGCCUUAGGAAGCGGCAGCUCGAGCUGAUAACUUCCCAAGCAGCGAAGACAAUAAAUGGAUUUUUCACAAAAC